GCAGCUGGCCUCUCUUCUUAACCGCCGGUCAUAGACACAAGGAAUUUAUUAUUGUUUCUGCUCCAAACGUCCCGAAAUACAUUUAUUUAGAAGUUUUGAUGCCAGAAUUCUUCCAUAGAUGUUAAAAUUUAACAGAUUGAAGACAGUACCUAACUAGUAUGUGAAAAAUUACAACUCCAAAAAAUACCAAGAGGCCAUCUAUAUCCAGACAACCAUUUUCUCUUGACUUUAUGAGUAGUGGAACCUGACACCAAGCAGAAAGAAGACAAUUCAGAUGUGUAAAAAAAGGCCCAAACCAUGCUCCCCAAAGCAACGCCUGGGA